rnacentral:rRNA from 1 species
UACAGAGGGUGCAAGCGUUAAUCGGAAUUACUGGGCGUAAAGGGUGCGUAGGUGGUUUUAUAAGUGAGAUGUGAAAUCCCCGGGCUUAACCUGGGAACUGCAUCUUAUACUGGGUAACUGGAGUACAUUAGAGGGUAGUGGAAUUUCCGGUGUAGCGGUGAAAUGCGUAGAUAUCGGAAGGAACACCAGUGGCGAAGGCGGCUACCUGGAAUGAUACUGACACUGAGGCGCGAGAGCGUGGGGAGCAAACAGG